rnacentral:lncRNA from 1 species
CCUGCGUCCCGGACUGUAUGAAGUGUGCUCUCUCCUAUAGAAGUCAGACAUCGGGAUUUCCAUCUUCCUGGAAGACCGGCCCUUCAAAGCCAAUUUGUUCCAUGUCCCUGUUGAGUCCUGUUCCAGUGUGCAGAGGAGGAACCGUACGGAGUGGGCUGAGCCUGGCAAAGCUGGCUGCUUAGGGUGACUUCUCUGUAGAACGGAGUUCCAAAGUUACUGAAGGAGUGCUGCUGUGAGUCACCUUCCCGCCAGCCAGGUUUCUAAACUGAGCACCCAUGGCUGGAGGCAGAGUUCCAAGAGAAGCCAGCUCCCCAAAGCUCCCAUCAAGACUCAAAGGUCAGACCUAUGGAAGAAAACUGGAAAUUUGAGCCAUUUAUUUUGGGCUGUAAAUGUGAUCUAAGCAUUUCUGAAAAAAUCUCUCUGCUCUGUUCCAGUUCCAAUCAAGUUAAACAGAGUUUUUCCCUCUCAGCCUAGAGUUCAAGCCCCCAAGACCUGACUUUUUUGAUGUUCUCAGGGUGGUGUCAAACUUCACACGCUGCAAAGGCAGCUGUAGCCAUGAGGGCUGGUCUGCCAGAAGCUGGGCACACAGGAAACGCCACAAGCCACCUGUCAAAAACCUGACUGCAAUGAGAUGUGAGUGAAACCAGAAUCAGGCCUACUGCACAGAGUUAAUCAUAAAUAAUGCUGUCUCGGUAAUGGUUGCAAUUAGUUAUGAACUUCAGUCAUUUCUAACGUUUCCGUGUUGGCCAAUUAUGCUGCAGAAAUUAUCAAGUAACCCAUAGCACAUUAGCUUUGUGUAAUGCCAUUGUUUGGAGGUGCUCAGGUCAGCAGAUCCUGGCAGGAUGAAUUAGCAUAGCUCCGCCAGGCACAAUGGUGCUGCCCUGAUUUACGCUGCCUGAAAAGCCCUCCCUUUGUCUGCAGGAGUUGUAGCUGCAGCAAGUUCAAACUGCAGCCUUGCAGUGGGGACUCUUUGGACCCAGCCUUACAGAAACAAGGGCGUGUGU